AUACGUAGGGUGCGAGCGUUAAUCGGAAUUACUGGGCGUAAAGCGUGCGCAGGCGGUUUCUUAAGCCAGACGUGAAAUCCCCGGGCUUAACCUGGGAACUGCGUUUGGAACUGGGAGACUAGAGUGUGUCAGAGGGAGGUGGAAUUCCGCGUGUAGCAGUGAAAUGCGUAGAUAUGCGGAGGAACACCGAUGGCGAAGGCAGCCUCCUGGGAUAACACUGACGCUCAUGCACGAAAGCGUGGGGAGC
rnacentral:rRNA from 1 species